rnacentral:rRNA from 1 species
GACGAACGCUGGCGGCGUGCUUAACACAUGCAAGUCGAGCGGAAAGGCCCUUCGGGGUACUCGAGCGGCGAACGGGUGAGUAACACGUGAGUAACCUGCCCCAGACUUUGGGAUAACCCUCGGAAACGGGGGCUAAUACCGGAUACGACACAGCUUCGCUUUGGGUCUGUGUGGAACGGGUUUCGGUUUGGGAUGGGCUCGCGGCCUAUCAGCUUGUUGGUGGGGUGGUGGCCUACCAAGGCGACGACGGGUAGCCGGCCUGAGAGGGCGACCGGCCACACUGGGACUGAGGCACGGCCCAGACUCCUGCGGGAGGCAGCAGUGGGGAAUAUUGCACAAUGGGCGGAAGCCUGAUGCAGCGACGCCGCGUGAGGGAUGACGGCCUUCGGGUUGUAAACCUCUUUCAGCAGGGACGAAGCGUAAGUGACGGUGCCUGCAGAAGAAGCGCCGGCCAACUACGUG